rnacentral:rRNA from 1 species
AGAGUUUGAUCCUGGCUCAGAUUGAACGCUGGCGGCAUGCCUUACACAUGCAAGUCGAACGGUAACAGGUCUUCGGAUGCUGACGAGUGGCGAACGGGUGAGUAAUACAUCGGAACGUGCCCGAUCGUGGGGGAUAACGAGGCGAAAGCUUUGCUAAUACCGCAUAAGAUCUAUGGAUGAAAGCAGGGGACCGCAAGGCCUUGCGCGAACGGAGCGGCCGAUGGCAGAUUAGGUAGUUGGUGGGGUAAAGGCUUACCAAGCCUACGAUCUGUAGCUGGUCUGAGAGGACGACCAGCCACACUGGGACUGAGACACGGCCCAGACUCCUACGGGAGGCAGCAGUGGGGAAUUUUGGACAAUGGGCGCAAGCCUGAUCCAGCCAUGCCGCGUGCAGGAUGAAGGCCUUCGGGUUGUAAACUGCUUUUGUACGGAACGAAAAGCCUUCUUCUAAUAAAGGGAGGUCAUGACGGUACCGUAAGAAUAAGCACCGGCUAACUACGUGCCAGCAGCC